UCCACAGCUGAAAACACCAACAGAAAAAAACAAAGAAUUUUACAUAGUGAGCUGUGUAACCCAUUCUGAAAUGAAAGCUUAUAGAAGUGCAAGGUACCUGAGGAAACUCUAAUUUCUCUGGAGCCCCCCAUCACCCAGUCUUGCACCUUACAGUCCAUACGUAUUUUGUCAAAUUUGAAAACUGUAUGCAUCUCUGUUCUGAACAACUGCUGCAACUCAAGGAAAAGUCUUGGCAUCUCAGCACAUGCCAAGUUCAGCUUUGGGAAGAGCCUAUUUAGGAGUCGAGCCUUACCUAAUGGAUUGGCACCAAUAAACACAUUUUCAAAGUUCAUUUUCGGCAUGUAAGAUAAAGAUUGAAUGUAGUUUCUCGCCUGUGGAAAUAAACAGUCUGUUAAGUAUAAUACAACCCAGUCACCAAGACAGUACUUUUCAGUCAUCCUGAAGCACUGCUCAUUAUGGUCUGUCUCCUCACUUCGCCUCCUCUGUACUUAUUCUGAUACUUACUAAGCCCAUCAACGCUAUCCCUUCCCAACUAAAGGCCACUCAGGACAGUGGAGCAAGAGCUGAUAUUACUUGAGGUUCAUGCAAGACUGGGAAGCAAAGAGGCACUGCAGAGCUGACUGCCCCGGAGUCCCGAUGAGGCUGCGUGCAGUUGAUGUCUGCUGAAGUUCUCAACCCAAGACUGAAAUAAUAUAAAAGUGGCAGUACAGCUGAAUAUAGAGGUCAACCUUCAGCAAAGAGGUCUGUGAUUCUCCUGACAGAGGGACCCCACGCACAAAAAAGCACCUAAAAGGCACUCUGGGUCUUGCACUACAAAACCAAAGGUGUUUGCAGCAGUGUUUCAGAAAUUAAUCAUGCUACAGAAGGGACUGUACACAUCUAGAGGAUUACACACUGCUCUUGUUCCGCCUCCCUCACCAGAAAGAUCCUUGGUACUCAAUCUGGAGAAAUAACAACUGAGAAGCCUCAAGUUGCCAUGAUAAAUACUUCCCUAGCAGCAUCUGAUCGUACCAUGUAUCACGAAGCAUAAACCCACAAACUGAAAAAAAAAAAAAGUCAUGAA